rnacentral:antisense_RNA from 1 species
GUGUCUUUUUUUUUUUGGAGACAGAGUUUCGCUCUUGUUGCCCAGGCUGGAGUUCAAUGGCAUGAUCUCGGCUCACCACAACCUCUGCCUCCCGGGUUCAAGCGAUUCUCCUACCUCAGCCUCCCAAGUAGCUGGGAUUACAGGCAUGUGCCACUACGCCUGGAUAAUUUUUUGUAUUUUUAGUAGAGAUGGGGUUUCUCCAUGUUGGCCAAGGCAAGCCUAUCACUUGAGGUCAGGAGUUCAAGACCAGCCUGGACAACGUGGUGAAACUGCAUCUCUACCAAAAAAUACAAAAAUUAGCCAGGUGUGGUGGCACACACCUGUAGUCCCAGCUACUCAGGAGGCUGAGGCGGGAGAAUCGCCUGAACCUGGGAGGUGAAGGUUGCAGUGAGCUGAGAUCACACCACUGCACUCCAGUCUGGGUGACAAAGUGAGACCCUGUCUCAAAACAAAAACAAACAAAAAAACCCAAUGAAGUCUUUAGUUCUUUCCCUGUCUUACUAUCACCACUAUUUCAGACAUUAUUUCAUGUCUGUGCAUUA